CCUACGGGCGGCAGCAGUGGGGAAUAUUGCACAAUGGGGGAAACCCUGAUGCAGCGACGCCGCGUGAGUGAAGAAGUAUUUCGGUAUGUAAAGCUCUAUCAGCAGGGAAGAAAAUGACGGUACCUGACUAAGAAGCCCCGGCUAACUACGUGACAGCAGCCGCGGUAAUACGUAGGGGGCCAGCGUUAUCCGGAUUUACUGGGGGUUAAGGGAGCGUAGGUGGCAUGAUAAGCCAGAAGGGAAAACACAGGGUUCAACUCUGUGGAUUGCUUUUGGAACUAUCAGGCUAGAGUGCUGGAGGGGUAAGCGGAAUUCCUAGUGUAGCGGUGAAAUGCGUAGAUAUUAGGAGGAACACCGGUGGCGAAGGCGGCUUACUGGACAGAAACUGACACUGAGGCUCGAAAGCGUGGGGAGCAAACAGGAUUAGAUACCCUUGUAGUC
rnacentral:rRNA from 1 species